GAUCCUGGCUCAGAACGAACGCUGGCGGCAGGCUUAACACAUGCAAGUCGAGCGCCCCGCGAGGGGAGCGGCAGACGGGUGAGUAACGCGUGGGAACAUACCCCUUGGUUCGGAAUAACUCAGGGAAACUUGAGCUAAUACCGGAUACGUCGGCAACGAGAAAGAUUCAUCGCCGAGGGAUUGGCCCGCGUCCGAUUAGCUUGUUGGUGAGGUAACGGCUCACCAAGGCGACGAUCGGUAGCUGGUCUGAGAGGAUGAUCAGCCACAUUGGGACUGAGACACGGCCCAAACUCCUACGGGAGGCAGCAGUGGGGAAUAUCGGACAAUGGGCGCAAGCCUGAAUCCAGCCAUGCCGCGUGAGUGAUGACGGCCUUAGGGUUGUAAAGCUCUUUCGCCAGGGACGAUAAUGACGGUACCUGGAUAAGAAGCCCCGGCUAACUUCGUGCCAGCCGCGGC
rnacentral:rRNA from 1 species